rnacentral:pre_miRNA from 1 species
UAAUUACUUUCUCUGUCCCAUAAUUCUUGUCGAAAUAUUACAUGUAUCUAAACGUUUUUUAAGUAAUAGAUACAUCCAUUUUUGGUAAAUUUGAGACAAGAAUUAUGGGACGGAAGAAGUACUGC